AUGCGGUUGCCGUCGGGGCGGGUGAGCACGCGGUGCAUCACGCUCUUGUACCGCCCGUUGGUGAUCACCUCCAGCUGGUCGCCGAUGUUGACGACGAUGGCGUGGCGCAUGGGCGACACAUCCACCCAUGCCCCGUCCUUCAGGAGCUGGAGCCCGCUCACCUGGUCGUCCUGGAACAGCAGGAUCACGCCGCCGGCGUCGGUGUGCGCGCGAAGGCCGUCGACCAGGUCAGGCCGCGGGCACGGCGGGUAG
rnacentral:rRNA from 1 species